rnacentral:rRNA from 1 species
GAUGAACGCUGGCGGCGUGCCUAAUACAUGCGAGUAGAACGCUGAAGGAAGGAGCUUGCUCUUUCCGGAUGAGUUGCGAACGGGUGAGUAACGCGUAGGUAACCUGCCUGGUAGCGGGGGAUAACUAUUGGAAACGAUAGCUAAUACCGCAUAACAGUAGAUGUUGCAUGAUAUCUACUUAAAAGGUGCAAUUGCACCACUACCAGAUGGACCUGCGUUGUAUUAGCUAGUUGGUGAGGCAACGGCUCACCAAGGCGACGAUACAUAGCCGACCUGAGAGGGUGAUCGGCCACACUGGGACUGAGACACGGCCCAGACUCCUACGGGAGGCAGCAGUAGGGAAUCUUCGGCAAUGGACGGAAGUCUGACCGAGCAACGCCGCGUGAGUGAAGAAGGGUUUCGGAUCGUAAAGCUCUGUUGUAAGAGAAGAACGAGUGUGAGAGUGGAAAGUUCACACUGUGACGGUAUCUUACCAGAAAGGGACGGCUAACUACGUG